rnacentral:rRNA from 1 species
CCUACGGGAGGCAGCAGUGGGGAAUAUUGCACAAUGGGGGAAACCCUGAUGCAGCGACGCCGCGUGAGUGAAGAAGUAUUUCGGUAUGUAAAGCUCCAUCAGCAGGGAAGAAAAUGACGGUACCUGUUCAAUAAGCCAUGGCUAACUACGUGCCAGCUGCCGUGGCAAUACGGAGGCUGCAAGCGUUAUCCGGAUUUACUGGGUGUAAAGGGAGCGUAGACGGCUGCACAAGUCCGGAGUGAAAUGGUGGGGCUUAAUCGAGGAACUGCUUUGGAAACUGGGCGGCUAGAGUGCAGGAGAGGUAAGUGGAAUUCGUGGUGUAGCGGUGAAAUGCUUAGAUAUUAGGAAGAACACCGGUGGCGAAGGCGGCUUACUAGACUGUAACUGACGUUGAGGCUCGAAAGCGUGGGGAGCAAACAGGAUUAGAUACCCUUGUAGUC